rnacentral:tRNA from 1 species
GGCGGAGUAGCUCAGCUGGUUAGAGCAGCGGAAUCAUAAUCCGCGUGUCGGGGGUUCGA